rnacentral:rRNA from 1 species
UAAUACGAAGGGGGCUAGCGUUGCUCGGAAUUACUGGGCGUAAAGGGAGCGUAGGCGGACAGUUAAGUCAGUGGUGAAAGCCCAGGGCUCAACCCUGGAAUUGCCUUUGAUACUGAUUGUCUUGAGUAUGGGAGAGGUAUGCGGAACUCCGAGUGUAGAGGUGAAAUUCGUAGAUAUUCGGAAGAACACCAGUGGCGAAGGCGGCAUACUGGCCCAUUACUGACGCUGAGGCUCGAAAGCGUGGGGAGCAAACAGGAUUAGAUACCCUGGUAGUCCACGCUGUAAACGAUGAGUGCUAGUUGUCGGCAUGCAUGCAUGUCGGUGACGCAGCUAACGCAUUAAGCACUCCGCCUGGGGAGUACGGUCGCAAGAUUA